ensembl:lncRNA
UGGAGUUUGUUUAAAUACAGUAGAUAAUCAUGGAGUUUGUAGAAAUACAGUACAUAAUCAUGGAGUAUGUUUAAAUACAGUACAUAAUCAUGGAGUUUGUUUAAAUACAGUAGGUAAUCAUGGAGUUUAUGGCCCUAUUGGAAAAUUGUCCACAUCCAGUGUGACAGUCAUUGAGUUGGUUGAGGUUAACAUGGUUAUAGCUGCAGGUGAAGGACAGGUAAUGGACAGGUAAAGGACAGGUAAUGGACAGGUAAAGGACGGGUAAAGGACAGGUAAAGGACGGGUAAUGGACAGGUAAAGGACUGGUAAUGGACAGGUAAUGGACAGGUAAAGGACUGGUAAUGGACAGGUAAUGGACAGGUAAAGGACGGGUAAUGGACAGGUAAAGGACUGGUAAUGGACAGGUAAUGGACAGGUAAAGGACGGGUAAAGGACAGGGAGAUGAGAUUAUCCAUUUACACUGAAGGAGAUGCUCAGUCUCCAUUUGGUCUCUCCUUUGCUGUGAAGAAAACAAGUAGUUGUGCAACGACUAGAAGGUGAGAUCCACUAAUAUAUGCUCCUAGUUUGGAGCUGCUAGUUGGGAGGGCUGAGGUGUCGUAUUCUGGAUCACAUUAGUUGGUCUGAUCGAAAUGCUGCUAGACUGUGGCUGGACUGUGGCUGGACUGUGGCUGUCACAGAGGAAUGGUUUGGUGUGAGCAAUUGGAAGAUACAAUGAACACCUGUACCUGCACUCUUCUUUUGGUGCAGUAGUUGUAUUGUUGAGUCUGAAUAGGACGGGUCAUUGUACAGAUUCAACACAUUUGAAAGAAGUGUUACUGAUUUCCUAACCAUACCUAUUAUAUAGUCAACCUUUUGCCAUCAUGAUUGUGAUUCUUCAUGUUAAAAACAAGCCCUCAUUCAAGGGGAAAUACAUGUUUCAUAAAGGCAGAAUUUAAAAAAGGAUCACGGAUCGAAAACCGUUUAUAAAGAACACGUGAAGAUGUGAAAAGUCACUCCCUCCUUGUCCUUCUAAAUGUCCUAGAACAAGAGAAAGGAAUCAGUCACUCUAGCCGAAAGGGUCCCCUGAACUCACACGUCAUUUUAAUAAUAGAAGGAAUAGACAGAACUCAAGACUAGCCGACACUGAAGACAUUCCAUCAUAGCUGUGUUUCUACUCAUCCAUCGUCCCCAUCCAUCCCAAACUCAUCAAGGCACAGUCACACUCCAGGUUCCCAUGAAGAACCAUCCUGUUUCACAUGACUUAACAUUCCUGAAAGCGUUCAGAGUGACAGCCCCCACUCCCCAAACCCCAGAACACAACAAUAGUGUCCAACCCCACUAACAGAGUGGGAGGGACCAGACAGACAUAACCUGUUCGUCAAGUGCAGGCACCAUGGAAACGCUCUCAUGGUUUGUUGGUGGAAGCCCUGUUAGCUGUUGGAAUGUGUCGUUAUUGACCUUUUGUUGGGUUCGUACAAUGCAAACCACAUUCCCAUGACUAUUCUCUUAACUCUCUCCCAAAUAGCUUUUGUACUUUUGUGAUUGAUACAGGUGGUCAUCUUGUGUUUUAUUUAUUUAAAUUCAUGAAAAAUACAACUUUUUAAAUGAAUUCUUUUAUUAUAAAGUCCUGCUGUGUGUGCGUGUGGCUGAUAAAUCCUCUCCUCAUUGCUUUACGGUCCAUUUAACCAAGACACAUACACACAGUAUUGUACCAGUGCAGUGGGUCUCUGUUCAGCCCAGCCCACCUGCCGUUAGCUUAUUGUUGAGCGGUGCCUCUGAAGAGCACAAUGAGACCACUGUCAGAGGAACAAGGGCGCAGAGGAGAGAGGGGCGGAGCUGGGGGGGAUUGAGGAGAGGGGCGGAGCUGGGGGCGGAGCUGGGAGGGCUUGAGGAGAGGGGCGGAGCUGGGGGCAGAGCUGGGAGGGAUUGAGGAGAGGGGCGGAGCUGGGGGCAGAGCAGGGAGGGAUGGAGGAGAGGGACGGAGCUGGGGGCGGAGCUGGGGACAGAGCAGGGAGGGAUGGAGGAGAGGGACGGAGCUGGGGGAAGAGCAGGGAGGGAUGGAGGAGAGGGAUGGAGGAGAGGGACGGAGCUGGGGGCAGAGCAGGGAGGGAUGGAGGAGGAGGGAUGGAGCUGGGGGCAGAGCAGGGAGGGAUGGAGGAGAGGGAUGGAGCUGGUGGCAGAGCAGGGAGGGAUGGAGGAGAGGGAUGGAGCUGGGGGCAGAGCAGGGAGGGAUGGAGCUGGGGGCAGAGCAGGGAGGGAUGGAGGAGAGGGAUGGAGCUGGGGACAGAGCAGGGAGGGAUGGAGGAGAGGGAUGGAGCUGGGGGCAGAGCAGGGAGGGAUUGAGGAGAGGGAUGGAGCUGGGGCAGAGCAGGGAGGGAUGGAGGAGAGGGACGGAGCUGGGGGCAGAGCAGGGAGGGAUUGAGGAGAGGGACAGAGCUGGGGACAGAGGAGGGAGGGAUGGAGGAGAGGGACGGAGCUGGGGGCAGAGCAGGGAGGGAUUGAGGAGAGGGACAGAGCUGGGGACAGAGGAGACAGGGACGGUACUAGGGACAGAGGAGGGAGGGACGGAGCUAGGGACAGAGGAGGGAGGGAUGGAGGAGAGGGACGGAGCUGGGGGCAGAGCAGGGAGGGAUGGAGGAGAGGGAUGGAGGAGAGGGAUGGAGCUGGGGUAGAGCAGGGAGGGAUUGAGGAGAGGGACGGAGCUGGGGACAGAGGAGACAGGGACGGUACUAGGGACAGAGGAGGGAGGGACGGAGCUAGGGACAGAGGAGGGAUGGAUGGAGCUAGGGACAGAGGAGGGAGGGACGGAGCUAGGAACAGAGGAGGGAGGGAUGGAGCUAGGGACAGAGGAGGGAGGGAUAGAGCUAGGGACAGAGGAGGGAGGGAUGGAGCUAGGGACAGAGGAGAGAGGGAUGGAGCUAGGGACAGAGGAGAGAGGGACGGUGCUAGGGACAGAGGGACGGUGCUAGGGACAGAGGAGGGAGGGAUGGAGGAGAGGGACGGAGCUGGGGGCAGAGCAGGGAGGGAUGGAGGAGAGGGAUGGAGGAGAGGGAUGGAGCUGGGGGCAGAGCAGGGAGGGAUUGAGGAGAGGGACGGAGCUUGGGACAGAGGAGGGAGGGAUGGAGCUAGGGAAAGAGGAGAGAGGGAUGGAGCUUGGGACAGAGGAGGGAGGGAUGGAGCUAGGGACAGAGGAGAGAGGGAUGGAGCUAGGGACAGAGGAGAGAGGGAUGGAGCUAGGGACAGAGGAGGGAGGGAUGGAGCUAGGGACAGAGGAGAGAGGGAUGGAGCUAGGGACAGAGAGGGACGGAGCUAGGGACAGAGGAGAGAGGGAUGGAGCUAGGGACAGAGGAGAGAGGGACAGUGCUAGGGACAGAGGAAAGAGGGACGGAGGAGAGAGGGAUGGAGCUAGGGACAGAGGAGAGAGGGAUGGAGCUCGGGACAGAGGAGAGAGGGACGGUGCUAGGGACAGAGGAAAGAGGGACGGAGGAGAGAGGGAUGGAGCUUGGGACAGAGGAGAGAGGGACGGUGCUAGGGACAGAGGAAAGAGGGACGGAGGAGAGAGGGAUGGUGCUAGGGACAGAGGAGAGAGGGACGGAGCAAGGGACAGAAAGGAGAGAGGGAUGGAGCUAGGGACAGAGGAGAGAGGGACGGAGCUAGGGACAGGGGAGAGAGGAACGGAGGAGAGAGGGAUGGAGCUAGGGACAGAGAAGAGAGGGACGGUGCUAGGGACAGAGGAGAGAUGGACAGAGCAAGGGACAGAAAGGAGAGAGGGAUGGAGCUAGGGACAGAGGAGAGAGGGAUGGAGCUAGGGACAGAAAGGAGAGAGGGACGGAGCAAGGGACAGAAAGGAGAGAGGGACGGAGCAAGGGACAGAAAGGAGAGAGGGACGGAGCAAGGGACAGAAAGGAGAGAGGGACGGAGCUAGGGACAGGGGAGAGAGGGACGGAGCAAGGGACAGAAAGGAGAGAGGGACGGAGCAAGGGAAAGAAAGGAGAGAUGGAUGGAGCAAGGGACAGAAAGGACAGAGGGACGGAGCUAGGGACAGAAAGGAGAGAGGGACGGAGCAAGGGACAGAAAGGAGAGAGGGACGGAGCUAGGGACAGAAAGGAGAAAGUUCCAUUCAUCCAGCUCUGUUCUGUUCUGUUGUUCCCCCAGGUCCCAUUCAUCCAGGUCUGUUCUGCUGUUCCCCCAGUUCCAUUCAUCCAGCUCUGUUCUGUUACACUGACCGAUGUAAAUAAUGGAUGAUAUAUCAUUGAUCCUGACACCUUUAGGGAAAUCAGGUGAACCACAUACCCUAGGUUAUUGAGUAGCAUGAUGGUUAAACACAGUUACUCAGAACUAGCUGAAAGGUAUUCACGUUUCAGAGAGACAAGGUGAUGUAGGCUGAUAGGGUGGGUGUACACUUUAUACAAGAACUGAGUUCAAACCUGCCUUCGCUCAAUAAGACUGUAGCUAGAUAUAUAAUAGGUGUAAAGAUAUUAACUAUUACAUGUAAACAACAUUUUAGCUUAUAUAUUUCCCCUUUCUGUUCAGUACUAUAUCUGUUAGAAAUGGAACGUGGUCGGUUGAUAUCCACAGAAAUAACCUACAACACAGUAAACCAGAGAAAUAACCUACAACACACACAGUAAACCAGAGAAAUAACCUACAACACAGUAAACCAGAGAAAUAACCUACAACACACAGUAAACCAGAGAAAUAACCUACAACACAGUAAACCAGAGAAAUAACCUACAACACACAGUAAACCACAGAAAUAACCUACAACACAGUAAACCAGAGAAAUAACCUACAACACAGUAAACCACAGAAAUAACCUACAACACAGUAAACCAGAGAAAUAACCUACA